GUAGGUGAACCUGCGGAAGGAUCAUUAACACAAAACUUCUAUAUCAACCUCGGCGCACUGUCUGAACCUUUUAGAGCGGAUGCUGAGACGGCAAUGGUUGGAAUUUAUCGGCCACUCAGCUAGGAUCCACCCAGGUCUUGCUAUGAACUUGAAAGUAGCAUGUGUCUGCGCUCGUACACUCCGUACGAUACGUGAGUUCCGAUUCGACUUUCUAAGGUAUUACAGCCUCAACCGUGGCUGGCCCUUUUUU
rnacentral:misc_RNA from 1 species